rnacentral:rRNA from 1 species
GAUGAACGCUGGCGGCGUGCCUAAUACAUGCAAGUCGAGCGAACAGAUGAGGAGCUUGCUCCUCUGACGUUAGCGGCGUACGGGUGAGUAACACGUGGAUAACCUACCUAUAAGACUGGGAUAACUUCGGGAAACCGGAGCUAAUACCGGAUAAUAUAUUGAACCGCAUGGUUCAAUAGUGAAAGACGGUUUUGCUGUCACUUAUAGAUGGAUCCGCGCCGCAUUAGCUAGUUGGUAAGGUAACGGCUUACCAAGGCAACGAUGCGUAGCCGACCUGAGAGGGUGAUCGGCCACACUGGAACUGAGACACGGUCCAGACUCCUACGGGAGGCAGCAGUAGGGAAUCUUCCGCAAUGGGCGAAAGCCUGACGGAGCAACGCCGCGUGAGUGAUGAAGGUCUUCGGAUCGUAAAACUCUGUUAUUAGGGAAGAACAAAUGUGUAAGUAACUAUGCACGUCUUGACGGUACCUAAUCAGAAAGCCACGGCUAACUACGUG